GACGAACGCUGGCGGCGUGCUUAACACAUGCAAGUCGAACGGAAAGGCCCUGCUUUUGUGGGGUGCUCGAGUGGCGAACGGGUGAGUAACACGUGAGUAACCUGCCCUUGACUUUGGGAUAACUUCAGGAAACUGGGGCUAAUACCGGAUAUGAGCUCCUGCUGCAUGGUGGGGUUUGGAAAGUUUCGGCGGUUGGGGAUGGACUCGCGGCUUAUCAGCUUGUUGGUGGGGUAGUGGCUUACCAAGGCUUUGACGGGUAGCCGGCCUGAGAGGGUGACCGGCCACAUUGGGACUGAGAUACGGCCCAGACUCCUACGGGAGGCAGCAGUGGGGAAUAUUGCACAAUGGGCGGAAGCCUGAUGCAGCAACGCCGCGUGCGGGAUGACGGCCUUCGGGUUGUAAACCGCUUUCGACUGUGACGAAGCGUGAGUGACGGUAAUGGGUAAAGAAGCACCGGCUAACUACGUG
rnacentral:rRNA from 1 species